AUUGACAUGCUGACUUCCCAUCAGAACUCCCAUGAAGCACUGUGACCCAAGUCUCUAAAGUUGCCUCAGGAAGAUGCCUGGCAAAAAUACUACAACGGAAGCAAACGACAUUCCCAACAGAAAUGGAGCGAACUCGGCAUCUACCCAUCCCAAACCACACAGGAGGACAAGCAGGAAAACAAGGAAGCAAGGCUCCCGGAUGGCUUCAAUGCGAAGGUCCCUGAACACAGGGUGCUUCAGUCUGCAGGAUGAAGAGAACGAGGGAUGAAGGGAGCAGAGGAGAGAAAUGGAGAGACUGAGGAGAGCAGCCAGCCGCAUCGCUCACCUCCAUUUCCUCCUUCUGGAGGACAAAGAUAAGGACAAGAGCUGUGACAGAGAAGGGCAGAUGGAUUAAUGAUCGUUCUGUUCUUCUCUCAAUGGGGACAGUCAAUGUGUGUCUAUUAUUGUCUUUCCUUGCAUCGCCCUUGUCUUGACACUCAUCUGGAUAGAGUGGCGAUUCCACCUUGUAAUGGGAGCAUUGAUAUAUUCUACAUUCGCCCUGUCAAAGGAGUCAGUGUCACCCACACGCAGGUGCACACGCACCCAUACACACUCAUAAGUAUACACAUAGAAAUGCUGUGGUCAAAUGGCAGAAGAACCUACUAUGCACGACAUAAGUGACCCAUAGGACGCAGCUUCUGGUGUAUAAGGUUCUAAGAAACCUAGCCAGGUUAACAUCCGCCAUGGGAAUGAGUUCAGUUCACUAGCUCGUGUUGACAGACGCUGCCUGUACUUUACUGUACAUUGACAGUACAUCCCGUUUUAGCUCCCGCUGCCUCUGGCAUUAUGGGAGAGUGGUGUGGAGUGCUUUUUUUCUUUCUCUCCCUCUCUUUAUCCUUCUGUGCCUGACUGCCAGCUCAGAAAACAGACUGCUGACGUCCCUGGGUUCACACCAAAAAGCCAAAGACCCAAAGUGAGACCAGGCAGGUCUGAGAUCUGUGCUGUAUAGCCUUAGCCAAAUGGCACUGACAAUGGCCAUUCGAUUUGGCUACGCAGCAAAAACUAAUCUGGGACCAGGCUAAGGUGCUGCUAAUUCCCUAAAAACUGUUUAGCCAGACACAAUCAGGUGACUUGAGACCAAAGCUGUUUGUAGUUUCCUUCUUCUCCUUUGUUUGACCAGAAGUGAUGCUCCAUUCUCUUUGGACUUCUGUCACACACACAGACCUUGACCAGGUUCCUGUCUCAGAUGGUUCUUCUUUCCACUCCUUGCUUGCAGGCUAAAUUUAGACCUGAUGCUGCCUGGCUUUUGUGCUGCGGCCUCAGUUGACAGAGAAAAAUAAAGGGAGAGAGAGAAACAGAGACGUUGCAUGCCCCAGAGCCAUUGAAUGUCUGUCCUGCAUCAAAAAAAACUCUAAAUAAAAACUGAGGUCUCCUCUCGUGCCCUUCUAAAUGCAUGAGAAAAACCGAGAUGUUUGUGUUACUCAAGACAAGACUUCUGGCAGUAAGCGUUAUUUAUUUCUGACAUUCUCUUCCUGACAACUCAAUUCCAGAGAAUAAACUCCUCCACCCUUUGUACAGUGGGGGAUGGGGGAGUUACCCUACAUAUUAGGAGGAAAUAAUCUCUCAUCUUCACAGAUCUCUAAAAAUAUCCAUGAGGACUUAAUGUCCCCUGUAUUGUAAGGGGAUCUCAAGAACCGAGCUAAAUCGAUCAUGGACAUGGCACGUCACGCAUUGGCUGUAUUCUAAUUCUCAGCAAUUCACCAAGACAGUAAGCUUAUUCCAUAAGAGCUCAGUUCAUCAAGAGAGUAGACCUACUUCACAACAGCCUCUUGACUGAACAUCAUGUAACACUUGUGUUAUAGUACAUGCUGGAACAGAACUGGGGUAUUGACACAGUGCCAGGCCAGAAGCUUUGAAGUGUGUGGUUAAGAAGAGGACACCUAUGGGUCCCGAGAAUUGUGUCAAAGAGCCCCGUUCUCCAGCCAUCCUCCCGCCACGGUCAGAAUUCAAUUCGGAAAGGAGGCAUAAGAUCACUGCCGACGUUCCUGAAUCCCCUCCAGAUUCUCCCUCUAUGAACUCAGAAAAGCCAAGACUGCGUCAGCAGAGCGUUCCCGGGAAGUUGCAAAAACGGAACUCGACAGAACCCUUUCGCAACUCCGGGCGGAGUUUGUGCAUGCAUGCUGCGCUACGCAGGAAGAACCGAGCAGGGAGAGAGAGAGAAGAAAAAAAAGAAUAGCCUCGGGUGUAGUAGCAUUUUUACCGGCAAGUUGUUGCCACACACCACACUCUUGGACGAUUAAUAUUUAUGUGGCGCCCGCCGAGCGAGCGAAGCCUAAAGCCCAGGGGAUGGAGCAAGCUGCCUGGCAUACUCCCCAUCAACUUCUACAGUGCUGAGAUAAAGAAUGUUCGCUCUCCAUUGAGCUUCAUUUCUGUGAACAAAUCAGGUAACACAAGAAAGAAAUCUAUUGAUUUGGCCUUUAGAAUAUAGCUCGCUCCCAGAUGUGUUUGUGCCGUCUUGCCAAAUGCUAUGGUCAUUGUCACGCCGGCUAAAAGCUUGGCUAAUACAGGAGGGACAUUGGUUUGGCUGACAGAAUGUACUAUGCGGAUAGUAAAAGUUACUUACACUAGUGUAUACUGUAUGCAGUAUAGCCUGCACUCACAUGCCUCCUAUCACCGAUCAGCAAUCGCACCAAUUGUCCUUCAGAUGCUCCUCUUGGGCAAUCACAGACUUGUUAAGUCGGUAGAUGCAGCCAGAAACGGCGUGACGAACACUGCUUCUCUUUGAAGUAUGAAAGCCGCUGCAUGAUGAACUGAGGUUGACUCAGGCAACAAAUUGACUGAUAACUUUGUUCACCGUUUUCACAGCUCGCGGCCAUAUUCCUUUUAAGGCCUCAUGAUCAGAUUGGUUCCUGUUUCUAGUGUGAACAUCUUCAACUGAUGUUUCUCUUGAGGAGAUAUGAAUGCGUAUUCCUGUCCUGGUUCGCCGGAUCUGUUUCUGCCUCUGACCGUGGCGUUGCCGGGGUACAUUGCCAGAGUAGAGGAGAACAGAGCACAGGGCCAGACUGUUCUCAAAACACCAGCUGAAAGAGGGAACUGGAAAGAAGACAAGACUGCACACAACCAGACGUUUACCUCGGACACACACUUCACUCUCAAUCUUCUCUUUACUGCAUAUUGUUUUUAUUACUAUUUUUUUUGCAUAUGGUUUUAACCUGAACUGACACCAGUAUUAUGAUUGCAGUGCAGGCAGUCAGCAUGCAGUUAUGCCACAAAAAGCUCAGCUAUAAUAGAGCUUUUAUAACCAUUAUAACAUGUCUUGAAGCAGAGCUGUUAAAGUACUGUUCUGACACUGAAAUGAAGGAGCUGUCAUAAUCCCAGCAAGGGAAGGGGUGUGGUUGUAAACAUACUGCCAGCUCAUCCUCUCUCUUUAGCUCUCCUUCCUUCUCCGUUUCUGACUGAGUGAGGGAAAAUGUAUAGAAGCAAAGGAUGAUACUGGAGACUUCCUGUUUCAGCAUUAUCACAGUCUACUUAACCACAGAAGUCCAAUAUUGCUGAACUACUGAGGAUAAUGAAAGGAUUCAAUGAAAGAGCUUAUUAAGUGUACUUUUUAACAAACUAGGGGGAGGGUUAGUUACUUAUUCUGUCUCCUCUUGUAGCAUUUCUUUGACUAAAAAUUGUCAUAUAGGCUACAAAGACUAAUUUUGGGGUUGCUCAUUCUGGUUCUCCACAAAAUGAUGACUGCAUGUAAAAUGUUGAGUACAGUAUAGGAUGCUUGUUAUAGGAUGCGAGAAAGACAGAAUUGUGUCCUGCCAAAGACUACCAGUGCUAUCCUUUUCCAUAUCUGUACGGAAACAAAUCGCUGAACUUUUCCUUGAAAACAUGACACCGAUUACCAUAUGACUUGCCAUUGACAAAGACAUUAGCUGCCCCUCAUUCAAAUGUGUUGGAACCAAAGGACAACACCCCUGCAACAUGUUUUUCUUUAUAUUAUAUUCCAUUAUAUUCCCUCUCAUUCUGUAGGCCUAUCAUAAUAAAUAAACCUCUGAAAAGACAAGGUAAAAUCUCUUACAAAAUACUUUAUUGAAUAUCGACCAAUUCAAGUGAAUUAAGGGACUUACUGGUUACAA